AGAUAAUAUGUACAGGUUAGUUGGGGCAGUUUGAUAUUUGGUAAAAUGGAUCAGAAUCUUCUAGGCUUGUUUUUCGGGACGGUUUUAGCUGUGAUCGUGUAAGUAAUUACUUGUAAAGUCAUACAAAAACUGUAUAAAUGAUCAUGCCACCGUUUACGGUUUUUGAACUGGCUGUCUGUAUAUGUGUUUGUAUUUUAAUUAUAUAGUAAUAUCUCUUUAUAAUAACCUUAUUUAUGAUAAUAAUAUCAACAAAACAUGUCGGUUGGAUUUACAAUCUUUUUUCCACUUUAUAUUAACCCUCCAGUGACAAUGGAGUCCCAUCGACAAAAAUGACGACCAAAUGACAAUUGAAUAACAUUUCUUCUUUAAAUUGUAAAUUGCAAAACACAAAAAUCAACUAUUGUUUUGAAAAAGAAAAGAUAAUGUACAAAAUCAGUUAAUAGUACAGUUAUGUAUUUGUUCGAUAGAAAAAUAUUCGCUGCAUUUACAUGUAUCUAACACAAUCAUUGACCUCUCUGUGUUAGGGUCAGCGGCCAGUUUCAUCUGGGUCGCCCAAUCGUAGACAGUCCGGAAGCCCACGCCAUUUUUGCAGCGGCUGAAAGAAACCGGACCCCAGAUGGUUUCCUGACCAAAGUAGAGCUUGACGACAUAUUUCAGACAUUUGACCACAACAGUAAGUGCUCUUGAAUGAAAAUGGGACUUGAACAACCAUCUUGGGUUGGAUACAAGAAUCAUAAUGCAUAUAUCCAAGGACGUCAGGAUGUUACUGAUUGAUAAAAAGUUUUAAUUAACAACGCCAUAAAACAAGGCGGUGAGUCCCCAUGGUGAUCCUCAAAUAGACUGUUUCAGCAAACACUUCACCGGCUAUUUUAUAUGAUAUUUUAUAAUAAAUCAUAGCACCCUCCAAAGAUGCGACAAUGAGCAAGCACAGUCAAGUAAAAUCUCAUCGAAUGUGUUUGGAGCAAAUUGAACUGAGACUGUGUAGAAGCAAUCUGCUAAAAGAUAAAACAACGUAUUAAACACGCAUUUACUUAGGGUGGAUCACGACACCUUGAAGGAGUCUGUCAAAUCAAUAGAAAAUUUCUUGGUUAUGAUAGACAGCAUGAAGGAUAAGAAGUAUGUAAGUCAAAUGGGAGAAAACAUAAUGUAAUUUUGGUAAACAACUAUGAUGUUUGAAAAUUAAGUCGUAAAAAAUUAACAAAAUCUCCAUGCGGAUUCGAACUCAUGAUCUGCGGUUUACUAGAACGAUACUGUAACCACUGAGCUAUGGUGAUAUUCAAACGAUUCGAUUGAUACAAUAAAUAAAACAAAUAAAUAGCCAUCUUGUGACGUAGUGUCUCAAAAUGUAAAAAUCUUGACGAAGCGAUGUACCUUAAAGUGUACUAUAAUAAGCGAGAUUUGAGCUAGCUAAACAAUUUGUUUCCUAACCAAACACCUACUCAGUUUGACCCCCAAGCCAUGUUUAAUGUAAGAUUUUGUAGGGUUAUCCAUCUAUAUAUUUUCUGUAUAUAUUAUUUAAUCGUCAAGUCUCUCAAAGUAUAAAGUCAUCACUGGUAAAGUUCAAGGUCUACAAUAAAGGGUAAAAACUUCAUUUUUGAUCUUGCUAAUAGUGGACAGGAGUUUCUACCGAACAUGUCUUCUUGAAUCGUAGAUUCACGAACUGCAACUGUUUAAUAACAGUUGUUGAAAACUGAUGAAGUCGAUUUAUCAAUGUAAUUUUAACUCCUUUUAUCUUGUAUUAUGACAUUUUCUCAAUGAUCUCUUUGGUAUUAGUGGAUGGCAUUGUGGAUGAGCAAGAAUUUAUAUACAUAUGGAGAUCUCGGCAUUUGGGAGAUAUAUCGCACGCCAUUACCCUUUUCCACCAUGCCGAUACGGAUCGCGAUGACGUCAUUUCCAAAGUUCCUGAUCUGACACGUGUUUUCUACUAUUUUGAUCGGGAUCGUAAGUUCUGGUUAUAAAAAGCAGAAAUUUUUUAUUUAGAAAUCAAUCUCCUUGUUUGAUGACCUUUAGGCACUUGUCAAUUUCGUUAGAAUAAUCUAGAUGAGUAAUUAGAGUCAUUAAUUUGUAAACCCACAUCCGUAAAAACCUUGUCUCUGAUUUCUCGUACUCGAGCUGUGUUGAUGAAAUUAUUCCAAUACAUUUUAGCUCAAGGCUAUUCAAUUGCAAUUAUGAGUAGCGGAGUGAAUUAAAAUAUCUUCUUAUCGGAUGCAUAUCAACCGUCUUUGUGGGCAUUGAUAAAAGUUUGGAGCCGCUGUCACCAGCGACUGAUAGUACUCGGGCAAAUGCUAUUGUUUCUUUCUCGCCUAUAGUAGAUGGUAAAGCUUGUUUCUUUUCUAUCUCUUUUAGAAGAUGGAAAAGUUAGCGAAGAAGAAUUCGUUCUAGUCUGGAUGUCCUUGUCAAUGUAAUCAAUGAAUCGCAUAACAAAAUAAAUAGAAGAAACAG
rnacentral:misc_RNA from 1 species